rnacentral:siRNA from 1 species
UAACCGCGAAUUGCGUGGCGCC